rnacentral:rRNA from 1 species
AUUGAACGCUGGCGGCAGGCCUAACACAUGCAAGUCGAACGGUAGCACAGAGAGCUUGCUCUCGGGUGACGAGUGGCGGACGGGUGAGUAACGUCUGGGAAACUGCCCGAUGGAGGGGGAUAACUACUGGAAACGGUAGCUAAUACCGCAUAACGUCACAAGACCAAAGUGGGGGACCUUCGGGCCUCACACCAUCGGAUGUGCCCAGAUGGGAUUAGCUAGUAGGUGGGGUAACGGCUCACCUAGGCGACGAUCCCUAGCUGGUCUGAGAGGAUGACCAGCCACACUGGAACUGAGACACGGUCCAGACUCCUACGGGAGGCAGCAGUGGGGAAUAUUGCACAAUGGGCGCAAGCCUGAUGCAGCCAUGCCGCGUGUAUGAAGAAGGCCUUCGGGUUGUAAAGUACUUUCAGCGGGGAGGAAGGCGGUGAAGUUAAUAGCUUCACCGAUUGACGUUACCCGCAGAAGAAACACCGGCUAACUCCGUGCCAGCCGCCGCGGUAA